rnacentral:rRNA from 1 species
AGCAGCCGCGGUAAUUCCAGCUCCAAUAGCGUAUAUUAAAGUUGUUGCAGUUAAAAAGCUCGUAGUUGAAUUUCGGGAUCAAUACGUUGGUCGUGCCUCUGGUAUGUACUGGUGUUAUUGAUUUCUCCUUUCUGAUGAACCAUGAUGUCAUUAAUUUGGUGUUGUGGGGAGUCAGGACUGUUACUUUGAAAAAUUAGAGUGUUUAAAGCAGGCUCACGCUUGAAUACAUUAGCAUGGAAUAAUGAAAUAGGACGUUCGAACCUAUUUUGUUGGUUUCUAGGAUCAACGUAAUGAUUAAUAGGGAUAGUUGGGGGCAUUAGUAUUCAAUUGUCAGAGGUGAAAUUCUUGGAUUUAUUGAAGACUAACUACUGCGAAAGCAUUUGCCAAGGAUGUUUUCAUUAAUCAAGAACGAAAGUUAGGGGAUCGAAGACGAUCAGAUACCGUCGUAGU